GAUGAAGAACGCAGCGAAAUGCGAUAAGUAAUGUGAAUUGCAGAAUUCAGUGAAUCAUCGAAUCUUUGAACGCACAUUGCGCCCCUUGGUAUUCCGAGGGGCAUGCCUGUUCGAGCGUCAUAUUAACCACUCCCGCUUGCGGGGUCUUGGGCUUCGCCUCCGGGCGGGCCUUAAAAUCAGUGGCGGUGCCGUCGGGCUCUACGCGUAGUAAAUUUUCUCGCGAUAGGGUCCCGGUGGAUGCUUGCCAACAACCCCCAACUUCUUAAGGUUGACCUCGGAUCAGGUAGGGAUACCCGCUGAACUUAAGCAUAUCAAUAAGCGAGGA
rnacentral:misc_RNA from 1 species